AUUGAACGCUGGCGGCAGGCCUAACACAUGCAAGUCGAACGGUAACAGGAAACAGCUUGCUGUUUCGCUGACGAGUGGCGGACGGGUGAGUAAUGUCUGGGAAACUGCCUGAUGGAGGGGGAUAACUACUGGAAACGGUAGCUAAUACCGCAUAACGUCGCAAGACCAAAGAGGGGGACCUUCGGGCCUCUUGCCAUCGGAUGUGCCCAGAUGGGAUUAGCUAGUAGGUGGGGUAACGGCUCACCUAGGCGACGAUCCCUAGCUGGUCUGAGAGGAUGACCAGCCACACUGGAACUGAGACACGGUCCAGACUCCUACGGGAGGCAGCAGUGGGGAAUAUUGCACAAUGGGCGCAAGCCUGAUGCAGCCAUGCCGCGUGUAUGAAGAAGGCCUUCGGGUUGUAAAGUACUUUCAGCGGGGAUGAAGGGAGUAAAGUUAAUACCUUUGCUCAUUGACGUUACCCGCAGAAGAAGCACCGGCUAACUCCUUGCCAGCAGCCCGCGGUUAUCCGGAGGGUGCAAGCGUUAAUCGGGAAUUACUGCGGCUUAAAGCGCACGCCGGCUGUUUGUUUAGUCAUAUGUUGAAAUCGCUGGGCUUCACCCGCGAACGUCACCGGAUCCUGCCACGCUUGCAUUCCCGUUCAGUCUGCUCGAAUCCUUUCCUAGUUGUGAAAUGUGUCUCAGUUUUGUUAUAUCCCGGCUGGUCAUGGUUGUGAGGUGCUUUCAUCUUUUUUUGAUGUUUUAUCCCCCCUUCUAACCCCCUCUUUUGCAGCCGGGCGUUCGGUGCUUUUAUUUGCUGCUCGUUGUGCUGGGGAGCUAAACUUCUUCUCCGCUUCGCGAAAAAAAAAAAAACAAAAAA
rnacentral:rRNA from 1 species